CCAACGACCGUACCGCAAACCGACACUGGUGCGCGAGAUGAGUAUUCUAAGGCGCUUGAGAGAACUCAGGAGAAGGAACUCGGCAAAUUGACACCGUAACUUCGGAAGAAGGUGUGCCCUAUUAGUGUGAAGUGAACAACGGAGCAUGAAUGGGUUGCAAAAAAUCGGUGGCUGCGACUGUUUAUUAAAAACUCAGCACUCUGCAAACACGAAAGUGGACGUAUAGGGUGUGACGCCUGCCCGGUGCUGGAAGAUUAAAUGAUGGGGUGCAAGCUCUUGAUUGAAGUCCCAGUAAACGGCGGCCGUAACAAUAACGGUCCUAAGGUAGCGAAAUUCCUUGUCGGGUAAGUUCCGACCUGCACGAAUGGCGUAACGAUGGCCACACUGUCUCCUCCUGAGACUCAGCGAAGUUGAAAUGUUUGUGAUGAUGCAAUCUCCCCGCGGAAAGACGGAAAGACCCCAUGAACCUUUACUGUAGCUUUGUAUUGGACUUUGAACAGAUCUGUGUAGGAUAGGUGGGAGGCUUUGAAGCAGGGUCGCUAGAUCUUGUGGAGCCAACGUUGAAAUACCACCCUGGUGUGUUUGAGGUUCUAACCUAGGUCCAUUAUCUGGAUCGGGGACAGUGCAUGGUAGGCAGUUUGACUGGGGCGGUCUCCUCCCAAAGCGUAACGGAGGAGUUCGAAGGUACGCUAGUUACGGUCGGACAUCGUGACGAUAGUGCAAUGGCAUAAGCGUGCUUAACUGCGAGACUGACAAGUCGAGCAGAUGCGAAAGCAGGACAUAGUGAUCCGGUGGUUCUGUAUGGAAGGGCCAUCGCUCAACGGAUAAAAGGUACUCUGGGGAUAACAGGCUGAUACCGCCCAAGAGUUCAUAUCGACGGCGGUGUUUGGCACCUCGAUGUCGGCUCAUCUCAUCCUGGGGCUGUAGCCGGUCCCAAGGGUAUGGCUGUUCGCCAUUUAAAGAGGUACGUGAGCUGGGUUUAAAACGUCGUGAGACAGUUUGGUCCCUAUCUUCCGUGGGCGCUGCAGAUUUGAGGAAGCCUGCUCCUAGUACGAGAGGACCGGAGUGGACACACCUCUGGUGUAUCGGUUGUCACGCCAGUGGCAUUGCCGAGUAGCUAAGUGUGGAAGAGAUAACCGCUGAAAGCAUCUAAGCGGGAAACUCGUUUCAAGAUGAGAUCUGCCGGGGCCUUGAGCCCCCUGAAGAGUCGUUCAAGACCAGGACGUUGAUAGGUCAGGUGUGGAAGCGCAGUAAUGCGUUAAGCUAACUGAUACUAAUUGCUCGUGCGGCUUGACCUA
rnacentral:rRNA from 1 species